rnacentral:lncRNA from 1 species
GCAAAAAGGUUCCUAUUCAUACCAUCCACUACACACCACGAGUUCCCCAGAACCUGUCUGCCAAACUCCAAAAAAUUAUGAGCAUAGCUCGAUGUGGUAAAACCACCAAGUAAUCAAUAAUGCAGAAAAUCUACUGGAUAUGCGAUAAAAUCGCCUAUCCCCUCGGUACUCUAGGUGCGGUGCACUGACUACGAAUAAUACAGACUUAAUAUGCC